rnacentral:rRNA from 1 species
AUGGCCUCCAGGUUGCGGCUUUGGAGAGGCCGGCUUCUCUCUGGUGACACACGACUCAAGCUUCUCAAGUCGGUGCUCUCUGCAAUUCCAGUUCAUGUCCUCUCUAUUUUCAAGCUGGAUGGUUGGGCAAUCAGACAAAUGGAUAAGCUUCGCAGGAACUUCUUGUGGCGUUCGAAGCCGGAUGGUGACUAGGGCCUUGCUCUCGUCAACUGGAGCACGGUGUGCCGCCCUAAGAGGCUGGGAGGCCUUGGGGUUCUCGAUCUAAAUCGGUUCAGCAGAGCUCUUCACCUCAUAUGGAAAUGGUACCAAUGGACUGACAAGGACCGGCCCUGGACAGGCAUGGAGAUACCGUGUGAUAAGGAUGAUCUUGCCCUCUUCUUUGCUUCCACUGUUGUAGCCAUGGGAAACGGCACCUCUGCCCUGGAACGACCGUUGGUUGGAUGGUCAAGUGCCACGGCUACUUGCUCCGGACAUCUUCAGGCUAUGUUACCGCAAAAACAUUUUUGUCUCUGA